CAUGACGCUAACCAGGCUAAAGAAGCUGCUUGACUCAUGAAUAAAUYUGGCUGGCUUGCUUCUUCCAGCUAAUGAUCUCUUCAGAAACCCUGGUUUGCAGUACAGACAGACAAACACAUCCAAGUUUCACUGGAAUGGUCAGCAACUUGAUGCUACCAUAAUUUAGAAGAUGUCUCAUUCUCUGCAGGAAGAAAACCUUCAUCUAUGCCUUUCCAAAGAACCAAAGAAGGCAAAAGCAGAGAUGUAGGCUGUGGAAUGAAGUGGAGCUGCAGAAAAGACUUCUCAGAUAAAAAUGUGUAUCUGUUCUGUAUGAAUCUACUCAGAUUACCUGUGUGUGCAAGUGCAUUAAAAGCAAUUGAUUCAUCCAGAAUAGUUGUGAACUGUCUGUGUAACUCAAGCAAAUUAAACUGGAUGCGUUGGAUUAUUUUAUACACAAUGUACAAUUGAUUUAAUCAUUCACAGAGGCCGUUUUGUUGGGAUUUCUGGAUAUCUUGCAGCCUGGUUGGAGAGACUAUUGUCUGCCAGCAACAGCACAGCACCUUCUGAUGUCCUUGUCAAAGCUCUUAAAUUCACCAAAAAUAAGAUUUCCAAGUGGAUAGUUAUAAUUGCUAAAAUCAAGAUGUUCGGAGGCCUUAGAGCAAUGAAUGUAUUGAAGGAAAAUUGAAGAAAUUGAGGCCAAAAACUCUUUCAUGUCUUACUAGUAACAGAGGCAUUUGGAAGAUACUUCAUCUCUCCGUCGAACUCAACCAGGGUCAUGGCAUUUUCUUUUUCAUUUUUUAAUGAAAUUAAAAUUUGGCUUUGCCAUUAAAAAUACAGUUCUUUGGAUUGCCCUUGCAUCUGUUACU
rnacentral:lncRNA from 1 species